rnacentral:sRNA from 1 species
GACUCUCACUAUAGUUGUCAGUGGCAUCCUUGAGUUCUUCCGCACUAAAUAUCUUCGCUGAUGAAUCCUCACCUUGAGAUGUCAUCAUCGAAAAUCUUUGCUGCAGUAGCAAUCCUCCAUUCUUCCUGAAUAACUCAGCUCUGUUUCUUUCCACCUUUCUUUUCUUCAUUGUCAAGUAGUAGCACAACAACACUGUAGCUAGCGUGGCCGUAAGUGCAAGAGCUACACCUGCAGACACUGGAUGAGAAUAUUCACAACUUGUGUUAGUCUUAUUUCUCAAUGAUAUCUUGUGGAAGUAAAAAGAAGUAUAAAAUUGCAAUCAAUAUUAGGAGCCUUUGACCGAACGACUAUUUGUCUGCAGAUUGUAAAUUGUGAUUUGUGCAUGGUUCCGGUUUAUUUAUGAGCUCCGACUUCAAUUCUUUCGUCCAGAAACAAUAUUGAGGUAUUUUUUACAACCUUAACACAUUUUUAAUGUUUAUCGUCAUUAGCUAUGUCUAAUCUAGUUUUGCUAGCUCAACUGAAUCAUUAAUCAUGAAUGCAGUCAAUACACUGGUCAUAUCUAUAUGAUGUUCAAUCAUUCAUGUUAGUAAUGACGUAAUCAUCAGCGGCUAUAUACUGUAGAUUAGCAGUUCUGCACGGGAGAUAUUUUUGACAACUGUAUUAAUAGCAGAGGAAUUAAAAAUAAAAGAGAGAAAAUGAAUGAUCUGAUGUGGAAUGCCGGGUGUUGAGCAUAUUUACCCAAAGCGGUAUAUAAAGGAAACUGCUUUUUGCAGCCACUCCCAUUCUUCUGGCCAUCGCCGAUCAUGCCUUUCGGGCAAACACACGAAGUAACUCCUUGCUCAUCCUUGCAGGAUUUUGAGUACGUGCAAGGGUUCAAUUCUCUGCACACAUCUAGGCCUAAUAAUAGUAAAUUGCAUGCAAUUAGGAGAUGUUUUCCAAAUGAAAAAUGAUUAGGCCGCUACUGGUUCAUUAUUAGAUGUUGUAAACAAGAUUUCGAACGUUCUCCCGGUACAUUGAACAAAUAAUAAUUUCCUGAUUAGAAAGACUGCACUUAAAAUGCUCUUCUGUGUGGUGAACAAAGCACUUUGUUUUAUGAUACCUUGCGGUUGGUUGUGGGUAGGGGCGCCUGCAUGAGAGAGAGAAUAUAUGAUCUUGGUCAGAUCAUCACGCAUUAUUACGAGUAACUAUUGCAGAAUUUUUUUAGAGAAGAAAUAUUACAGCGUAAUCCAGCCAUAUAUAGGAGAUGCAUACAAUAUCAUUUUAGCGUUUCAACCGGAAGAAAUAUAUCAAUUCAUAUUGACAUUUCUUUAAGUAAAAAGGGAACAAAGCUCCUAUCACCCAGGCAAUCCUAAGUUCAUGCAUAGUCACGUUAAAAGGAACAAAAUUCUUACUGUGGUAUUUAUUGGUAGUAGAAUCAAUUUAGACCUUUCAUCUUUUCUCAUCCAAUCAAACAUAAAAGUACCCAGGAAGAACCGUUUAAAAGCUUUUUUUUUUUUUGAGUUUUCCAACUUAUCUCAAAAUUGGUCUAGAAAUAACACGUGGUGAUUAAUAUGGUUGUUUGAACAGAAAUUCUAGAAUAAGUAGGAUUAUAUGCAAUCUAAAAAAAUAUCCCAUUAUCUUAAACAAAAGCAGUCGGAAAAAAUAUAUGGCAUGUAUUUACCAGGUGGCCGAUGGGAGUCAAUGCACCCUGUCCCUGUCCUGUAGCCAUCACCAGUCUUAUUAUUGGGGCAAGAGCAAGUAUAUCCUCCGGGAGUGUUAUGACAGAGUACGCUACAGUUGUUGUAAAUGAGAGACCGGCAUUCGUUGAUAUCUUCAUAAAUAGUGUGAAGCCACAUUGAGAAAGCAGAAAAAUACAGUUCUAUUCAUAGCAGUUAGCUAAGUUCUAUGGUAAUUGAAUUCUGCCAUGAUACAAACAGAAAGAAACUAUAACAAACUGUUUUCACUAGCUAGUGCAUAUUUUUUAGAUCACUGUGUUUAGAAGUAUCUACUAUUUACCUUGGCAGCCGCC